rnacentral:lncRNA from 1 species
CAAGAAAACAGUGAUUAUUUUGCCUGAAAAUUCCCACCCCAGCUGAAUUACAUUUUCUUGUUCUCAUUUUCCUAGAUUGGGGGUGUCUCCUGAGGCUGUCCUAACUUAUUGUCACAUAUGUGGUGGCCUGCCUCGUGGUUCUGGAGGCCAGACACCCAAGGCCCGGCAUCCGCAGGCUGCACUCCCCCAGAAGGCGCCAGGAGGAUCUGCUUCUCCUGUCUGUGGCGGCUCCAGGUGCCCUGUGGCUGUGGCCACAUCACUCCAGCCUCCCUCCAUCAACACGUGACCUCCGCCUCUGGGUUUCUCCUCUGUGUGUCUCUUAUAAGGCCACAGUCAUUAGCGUUGAGGCCCAAGGGGAUGAUCCAGGGUGACCUCAUCUCAAGAUCCCUAACUCAUUACAUCUGCAAAAUCCCUUUGCCCAGAUAAAGCCACAUUCAAAGAUUCCAGGGUGUUGACAUGGCCAUGUUUGGGGAACCAUUUAUGGAGCCUCACUGUGAGUGAUCCCAGUGAGCACAAGCAUGCCCUUGGCUAAGGUCUUCGAGGGUCUGUGGGAAGCUCCAGGAGCCUGUGGUGGUCCAGAGAGUCUCCCAGGCCCCUUCCCAGGGGCUGUGGCAGAGGGGCCAGCCAGUCCCUCCUGCAGUCCUGCCCCACUACCUCCUCACGGGAGCACCCUGAGCAAGAGAGGAAAUCUGGCCGAGUUGCAGUUUCCUCCUCUGUAAAGUGGAAAUAAUGCAGCCUAUCUUGUGUGGUUGCUGUGCAGAGGACCAAAU